CAGUUUCUACUCUCUAAACACUGUCUCUAAACUUCCCCUCUCUCUAAACCUUCAUCUAAGCAUUGGGAUUCUUAUUCUGCAGAUUUGAGGAUUUUGGAUAUUUGUUACGGAUCUACAAACCAGUUACACUCUAGGCUGUGUUGUGCAUCAAAUAAUUCAGAUUUGGGCUCUGAUCGACACAAAAACCCUAAUCCCCAAAUUAACAAAACUACGAUAUAAAUCAAAGCUACAACGCCUACCUCCAUAAUCACAGACUCACCAAUCAGACACUACUCCAAUUGAAUCCAUAGCUUCAUGAGUUGCUUCUUUUUUGUGGAUCACCGGAAGCAGCUAAUAAAACUCCGUUGGAUAUAUCUAUUGUUAUUAUUUAUUUAUUUUUUAUUUUAUUUUUGUAAAUUUGAAUUACCUUUGGUGAUCCAGUGAUGGCAUGAUGUCUUUGAGACCUGAUUUUAAUGACAAUUAUAAGCAUUCUACGUU